CUGGCGGCGUGCCUAAUACAUGCAAGUCGAACGGUCUUUUCUAUGGAAGCUUGCUUCCACUGAGAAGAUAGUGGCGAACGGGUGAGUAACACGUGGGUAACCUGCCCAUAAGAGGGGGAUAACAUCCGGAAACGGGUGCUAAUACCGCAUAGUUUUCUUGAUCGCAUGAUCGGGAAAGGAAAGACGGCCUUUGUGCUGUCGCUUAUGGAUGGACCCGCGGCGUAUUAGUUAGUUGGUGAGGUAACGGCUCACCAAGACGAUGAUACGUAGCCGACCUGAGAGGGUGAUCGGCCACAUUGGGACUGAGACACGGCCCAAACUCCUACGGGAGGCAGCAGUAGGGAAUCUUCCGCAAUGGACGAAAGUCUGACGGAGCAACGCCGCGUGAGUGAAGAAAGGUUUUCGGAUCGUAAAACUCUGUUGUCAGAGAAGAAUAAGUUGGAGAGUAACUGCUCCAGCCUUGACGGUAUCUGACCAGAAAGCCACGGCUAACUACGUGCCAGCCGCCGC
rnacentral:rRNA from 1 species